UGCGCUAGAUUUAGGCGGAAUCUGACAAGUGGCGGUGGAUUGCAUGGAUAUGUCACGGAACAGCGAUUGCGAAGGCAGAUGACUAUGGUGUGUUGACGCUGAGGCGCGAGAGCCCGGAAUCGAACAGGUGUUAGUUACCGUGGUAGUCCACGUCGUAAUCGAUGAAUUGUCGUUGUUAGCUAGAUUCAGUAAGUGGCUAAGCGAGUGCAUUAAGUGGUGCGCGGGGGGAGUACGCUAGCAAGGAAGUAAAUCGAAGGGAUUGCGCGCGGCCCGCACAACCGGUGGUGCAUGUGGUUUAAUUGGAAGGUACGUGAGGUACUUUACCCGUGCUUGGAAGUUAGUGAGGGUCUAUGAGAGCGUUCAGGUGACGCGAGUACACCACGAAGACUACGGUGCCUGCUAUGUGCAUGUUCGUCGAGCGUCGAUGACCGUUGAGGGUGUAUGUGGUUACAGUCGCCGCACACGAGCGCAUACCCUUGUUGUUUAGUUGUCAGGACGGGAAGUCGGGGGAGACUGCCGGUGACAAACCGCAGGAAGGUGGGAGAGGAGGUGCAAGUCGCUCAAUGGCCUCUUAGUGGCGUAGAGGGUCUCGGCGGCGUAGCAUCACAGAUGGUCACGAAUACAGAAUGGUGACAGGAGAGGCCACGCAGAGGCGGGGCAAGCCAGACACAGCAGAAUACGUCAUAAUAAGUACGUCUCGGCAAUGUGUAGGUACUAGCAAAGCUUCUGGACAUACCUACUGAACACGUCUGGAGAAUGCUGUCGUGAGUUACAGUCGUAUGUGAAUNCCAGCCGAUAGUCCAGGCGAGAUGAACUGACGGUUGCACAUGAGCGUCUCUCGCAGGCACCANUCUGUACCCAGCAUCACGCACCUCGAUGCAGAAGNCCAGUGUUAACACACGAGGAGGUGAUCGCUACAGACGUAACGCACNCACGUANAGGAUCCUACAUAUAUGCGAGUCUGUGACGU
rnacentral:rRNA from 1 species